rnacentral:lncRNA from 10 species
GUGGGGUUUAGAGGUAGAUACUUUUAUUCAUUUUUCUUAAAUUGUAUUUCUCAAUUGCCACUCAAGGAUCUUGGAAGAUGUAUUUAAUCUCAACAUCAAAUUAGAGUUCUAGGAGACCAAGGCAAUUGAAUAUGUCAUUGGACAAAACUCCACUUCAUAUCCUUUGGUGUGUAAAUGAUUCAUUCCUUGAAGAAGAAAGGUUCUGGUUAAUUUGCGGCUUCGUUAUGAUUUGCUGCUUUUUUGUGAUAAGGAUGAGGGGAACUGCCUUUAGAAAAACUGGUUCCGUGGUAGGAUCAUGGUAGGAUGACCUCUGGCCUCUCUCCCUGGGCUCUCUGCUGUAGCUUUCUUCCUCUCUAAGGCUUAUUCCUGAAGCUUCACUAGAGACAGGUAAAAUACAGUUCCUGCCCUCCGGAAGUUUCCAAAUCAGCUGUGGAUAUAGAUUACUGUAGGAGAAUCAUAAAAUCACAGGAGUACAAAUAAAAUGCAGUUUCAGAGAAAGUACACAUUACUUUUUGCCUCAGCUUGUACUGUAACAUUAGCCUGUGUCUUUAUCAGCCUAGAGCUUUACUUUGUUUUAUUAUUUUAAAAAAGAAAAUCGUUCUGCUGGACUGGAAAUACCUUGACGCCAGAGGCCAUGUUAUUUUUAUCUUUUGAUCUCCUCUCUAUUCUAGUACAUUCAGGCUCCACACAGGACACAGCACACAUAAUACUGCCUGGUUUCCCCACUGCGAGCCCUUCGAGAACAAUGUCAUGUUGAUCGAUGGCAGUGACUCACACCAGAUCUUUCCAUGCCUCCUCUGCAAGGACUCAAGAGAGUCGAGAGCAAAACCGUGCCAUAGUUCCAUAAGGAGGGCAAAGAGCUUUAUCCACGCUGAGGAACAGGCGGAUCAUGCGGCUACAGCACUGGUCUUUACCUUUUAACUGCUUGAUUCGAAACAUUCCAGCCAGGAACAGUGGCUCACACCUGUAAUCCCAGCACUUUGUGGGGCCAAGGCAGGUGGAUUGCUCGAGCUCAGGAGUUCGAAACCAGCCUGGGCAACCUGGCAAAACCUCAUCUCUACAAAAAAAUACAAAAAUUAGCCAGGCCUGGUGUGUGUGCCUGUGGUUCCAGCCACUCGGCAGGCUGCGGCCAGAGGAUCACUUGAGCCCAGGAAGUGGAGGCUGCAGUGAGCUGAGAUCGUGCCGCCACACUCCAGCCUGGGUGACAGAGCCAGACAUUGUCUCUAAAAAAAAAAAAAAAAGAAAAGAAAAGAAAGAAAAAAGAGAAAUAGUCCAAGACUAGGGAGAAAACCUUCUUUGGGGUCAGUGUGAACCAUUCUUUCAUUUGUUCAGCAAAUGCUUACUGAGGAGCUACUGUGUCCCUGAAAUUGCCUCCACCUCCAAGAAGACAGUGGUGAGCAAGUCAGACAAUACCUCUAAUCUCAUGGUAUUUAUAAGUAAAUGGGCCGUUAAAAUUACCAGAUCAGAAGUGCUGUGUUCAGCAAAUAGAGGCUCAUGGGAAACUCCUAAGAAGGGCUUCUGAGCUGGACUUGGGGGUCAGGAAAGGCAGAAUGAGGGGGCUGACUCAUCCAGACUGGGGCGGGGUUGCCGGGGGUGCCUCCCACUUACUAUCUGUCUCCUUCUAGACUGACUUCUCUGUCAUCAUGAAUACACCCCUUUAAGACAUACAUUUAAGAGAAAAUAAGAGGAUGCCUUAUUUAUUUAAAGGUUUGUUACAGUUUUACUAACAACCACAUACCUAAAGGAAAGUCGCAAGUAGAGCUCAAAAACUUUUUUCUCUGGGGCAGUGAAGAGUCAGUUGCCAGCCAGAAGGCCCACUGAGCCUGAGCACUUCAGGGUGUGCUUCCUACAGAUAAGGACAUCCUCCUGCAUAACAGGAAAGGGGUCCUGAUCCAGACCCCAAGAGAGGGUUCUUGGAUCUCGCACAAGAAAGAAUUCCGGGUGAGUCUGUAAAGCGAAAGCCAGUUUAUUAAGUAAAGGAGUAAAAGAAUGGCUAUUCCAUAGACAGAGCAGCCCUGAGGGCUGCUGAUUGCCCAGUUUUAUGGCUGUUUCUUGAUGAUAUGCUAAACAAGGGGUGGAUUACUCAUGCCUCCCCCUUUUAGACCGUAGAGGGCAAGUCCUGAUGUUGCCAUGGCGUUUGUAAACUGUCAUGGAGCUGGUGGGAGUGAAGCAGUGAGGAUGACCAGAGGUCACUCUCGGCACCAUCUUGGUUUUUGGUGGGUUUUAGCCAGCUUCUUUACUGCAACCUGUUUUUUCAGCAAUAUCUUUAUGACCUGUAUCUUGUGCCGACCUCCUAUCUCAUCCUGUAAAUUAGAAUGCCAUUACCAUCUGGGAAUGCAGCCCAGUAGGUCUCAGCCUUAUUUUACUCAGCUCCUAUUUAAGAUGGAGUCGCUCUGGUUCGAACGGCUCUGAUAUAACUGCUGCUCAGCCAUUGACGUCGGGAAGGUAGCACAGGCUCAUUGCCACCACUGAACCCUCAGACCCCACCCAAGUGUUGCCAGUUGUUCCAAUAAUGUCCUUUAUGGUGAAAGGACCAGAUCCAUGGUCACAUAUUGCAUUGAAUUGUCACGUCUUCUUCUUUAGUCUUCCCUCGACCUACAUGACCUUGCCAUUUUUGGAGAUAAUAGUUUAACAGUCCAGUGGGUUCACCUUGCCCGCUGCCUAGACAGAGCUGGUUGAUCAUGACAGGGGAGUUGCAAUGGACAAUGGAGAAAGCGUAAUUCACACAGAGUCGACUGUGUGGGAGACCAGAGUUUUGUUAAUACUCAAAUCAGUCUCCCUGAGCAUUUGGCGAUUAAAGUUUUUAAAGAUAAUUUGGUGGGUAGGGGCUUGGGAAGUGGAGAGUGCAAUGGAGAUGGAAUCACAGGGGGUCGAAGUGAGUUUUUCUUGCUGUUUUCUGUUCUUGGGUGGGAUGGCAGAACUGGUUGAGCCAGAUUACUGGUCUGGGUGGUGGUAGCUGGUCCACUGAGUGCAGGGUUUGCAAAAUAUCUCAAGCACUGAUCUUAGGUCUUACAAUAGUGAUGUUAUUGCCAGGAGCAAUUUGGGGAGGUUCAGACUCUUGGAGUCAGAGGCUGCAUGACCCCUAAACUGUAAUUUCUUGUUUUGUUUGUUUGUUUUGUUAUUGUUGUUUGGUUUUUUUUGAGACGGAGUUUCACUCUUGUUGCCCAGGCUGGAGUGCAAUGGCAUGAUCUCAGCUCACCGCAACCUCCACCUCCCAGGUUCAAGCAAUUCUCCUGCCUCAGCCUCCCAAGUAACUGAGAUUACAGGCAUGUGCCACCACGCCCGGCUAAUUUUGUAUUUUUAGUAGAGAUGGGGUUUCUCCAUGUUGGUCAGGCUGGUCUUGAACUCCUGACCUCAGGUGAUCUGCCUGCCUUGGCCUCCCAACGUGCUGGGAUUACAGGCAUGAGCCACUGCGCCUGGCCAGUAAUUUCUAAUCUUGUAGCUAAUUUGUUAGUCCUGCAAAGGCUGAGUGGUCCCAGGCAAGAAGGGGGUCUUUUUGGGAAAGGGGUUUUAUCAAUUUUGUUUCAGAGUCCAACCACGAAUUGAAUUCCUUCCCAAAGUUAGUUUGGCCUAUGCCCAGGGAUGAACAAGGACAGCUUAAAGGUUAGAAGCAAGAUGGAGUUGGUUAGAUCUGAUUUCUUCCAGUGUCAUAAUUUCCUGAGUUAUAAUUUUGCAAAGGUGGUUUCAAUAGGACACUUGCUUUGUAGCCUGCACUUUGGUUUUCAUUUCUCUGAUGUGCCCUCACGGUUAGGGCCAAGUGAUGCAUCUUUAGUGGGAAUAGCUCAGGAGUAGUGCGGUCUUCUUAUUGUAUUAUAACACAUGCGGUGGCAUUUGUUGGCUCAGCUUCUACACUGUAAAGUUGCUCUUUUUGCCUCUUAAUGAAUAUGUAUCUUGAGGGAGAUACUAAAAAAAAUCCCUUUCCUCAUCAAAUUCUGCAUGUGUUCAGUAUGGAUUCAUGGCUUUCUAUUUUAUCCACUAGGUUAUAAUCUGUUGCCAUCUUUAUUUUAAUACUCAAAUUCUCCCAUAUUCAGUGACCACCUCAAGCUGACUUCUGUAUCCUUUUGACACAUCUCAGUCAUUCUUUGAGCACUUCCUUUUUUGCUGAGAUGGGUACAUGUUCUAGGCCCACCCUGUGCUUCCCCUGUCUAGUCUGGAAUCAGCCGUUUCUCAAAGGAGCUUUUGGUGGAGAAUGGUGUUUAGAAACCAAGAUCUGGAUAGCAGGUGUGCUCGCUGUGAUUGGGCUAUUGCUGCUCCCAAUCCUCUAGAUAGCCAGAACAACAACAUAAAAACAUGUAUGUUUGGCUGGGCACGGUGGCCGAUGCCUGUAAUCCCAGCACUUUGGGAGGUUGAGGUGGGUGGAUCACCUCAGGUCAGUUUGAGACCAGGCUGACCAACAUGGUGAAACCUUGUCUCUACUAAAAAUACAAAAAAAUCAGCAGGGUGUGGUGGUGCAUGCCUGUAAUCCCAGCUACUUGGGAGGCUGAGGCAAGAGAAUCGCUUGAACCCGGGAGGUGGAGGUUGCAGUGAGCCAAGAUCAUGCCACUGCACUCCAGCCUGGGCGACAGAGUGAGACUCUGUCCCCGAAAAAAAAAAGAAAAGUAUGUUUAUUUCUGUAUGUUUUUACUCACACCAAAAUACCUUCAAUUCCAGCCCAGUACCACAGGACUUAUUCUAGUUUUCUCUCUUUUCAUAUUUGUAUCUCCUUUCUCUGACAGUGAGACCAUGGCUCCCAUUAUUCUAAGUAUACUGACUUAUUUGACUAAUCCCCUGUAGAUGAUCAGUCUCUCCUGCCUUCUCCCCCACCACAUGUGGACACCCUCCUCACCCUGCCUGGCCCUGACACCCCGUGCUGGGUCUUCAACAUGCACAGAGGCCCUCCUGACCCCACUCGGGCUCUGAUCUUCCACACCAGACCACCCCUUCACACGGGCCCCCUCCUCCCACAUUUGGGCUCCGAGUCCCCAGGCUGAGCUGCCCUUUACCUUGCUUGAACUCUGACACCCCAUGCCAGGUCUCGGCCUUGCGAGGACACCUUUCUCACCUUAUGCUGGAGCUCCCUGGCACAGACUGCCUUGCACUGUGCUGGACUUUGCCUGCUGCCUGGAUGCACUCCUCACCAUGCCUGGGCCCUGAAAUCCCACUGCAGGCCAUUCUCACACAUGGAUGCUUUCCCUACCCUGCUUGGGCCCUCACUCCCAUGCUGACUCCCUCUCCCCCAUUGUAUUAAUCCAUUUUCAUGCUGCUGAUAAAGAUAUACCUGAGGCCAGGCGCAGUGGCUCAUGCCUGUAAUCCCAGCACUUGGGAGGCAAAGGCGGGUGGAUCAACUGAGGUCAGGAGUUCGAGACCAGCCUGGCCAACAUGGUGAAACCCUGUCUCUACUAAAAAUACAAAAAUUAGCUGGGCAUGGUGGCAGGCGCCUGUAAUCCCAGCUACUUGGGAGGCUGAGGCAGGAGAAUUGCUUGAAACUGGGUGGCGGAGGUUGCAGUGAGCCUAGAUUGCGCCAUUGCACUCUAGUCUUGGGGACAAGAGUGAGACUUCGUCUCCAAAUAAAUAAAUAAAUAAAAAUACAUACCUGAGACUGGGCAAUUUACAAAAGAAAGAGGUUUAAUGGACUUACAGUUCCAUGUGGCUGGGGAGGCCUCACAAUCAUGGUGGAAGGUGAAAGGCAUGUCUCACAUGGUGGCAGACAAGAGAAGAGAGCUUGUGCAGCGAAACUCCCCUUUAUAAACCAGAUCUUAUGAGACUUAUUCACUAUCAUGAGAACAGCACGGGAAAGACCUGCCCUCAUGAUUCAGUUACCUCCCACCAGGUCCCUCCCACAACACGUGGGAAUUCAAGAUGAGAUUUGGUUGGGGACACAGCCAACCCAUAUCACCCAUGCCUGGAUGCCCUUCUCAUGCUUGGGUUCUGUCAUCUGCACCAGGCCUUCUGCUGCCCGUCUGUCUUACCCACCAGGACUCUGACUCUCCACGCUGGGCCACCUCUCUUCUCCAACACUGCUAUGGAUUGAAUGUUUAUGUUCUCCCCAAAUUUGCAUGUUGCAAUCCCAAUCUCCAAUGCCAUAGUAUUAGGAGGUGGGGGCCUUUGGGAGGUGAUUUGGUCAUGAAGGUGGAGUCCUCACAGCUGGGAUGAGUGUCCUUCUAUAAGAGGCUCCAGUGAGCUCCCUCGCCCCUUCCACCAUGUGGGGACACAGCGAGAAGAUGCUGUCUAUGAACCAGGAAACCGGCCCUUGCCAGACACUGAAUCUGCACUUUGAUCUUGGACUUGCAGCCUCCAGAACUGUGAGAAAUAAAUGUCUAUCGUUUAUAAGGCACUCGGUCCAUGGUAUUUUUGUUAAAGCAAUCUAAACGGAC